rnacentral:tRNA from 1 species
UCUUCNGUAGCUCAGUGGUAGAGCUAUCGGCUGUUAACCGAUCGGUCGUAGGUUCGAGUCCUACCUGCGGAGCCA